rnacentral:sRNA from 1 species
AGGCAGAGUCUUGGUUCCAGACAUCCGCGGAGCAAUCUGAGCUGUCCCCAAGUCUCCUUCUAUUAAAUCCUACCCCGCCCUGCCAAGAGCGCUCUUCCUUUUACCAUUUUACCCGGAUGAUCUUGGAAUAGUUCCUUAAAACUUCUCACUCCCCCAGUACCAUUAGUGUCUUAGAGGAUUCGUGAGUUGCUGAACCAGUCGUACGAGAGGGGCUGAAGCACAUUAGUGAAGGAUGUGUGUUCAUCUACUGCCAAGUAGGAGAAAAGCCUUAUUGGAAAGAUCCAAAUAAUGACUUCAGAAAAAACUUGAAAGUAACAGCAGUGCCUACACUAAUUAAGUAUGGAACACCUCAAAAACUGGUAGAAUCUGAGUGUCUUCAGGCCAACCUGGUGGAAAUGUUGUUCUCUGAAGAUUAAGAUUUUAGGAUGGCAAUCAUGUCUUGAUUUCCUGAUUUGUUCUAGUAUCAAUAAACUGUAUACUUGCUUUCAAUUCACGUUAGCAAUAAAUGAUGUUAAA